UACGUAGGGUGCGAGCGUUAAUCGGAAUUACUGGGCGUAAAGCGUGCGCAGGCGGUUCUGAAAAGUCAGCUGUGAAAAGCCCCCGGGCUUAACCUGGGAAUUGCGGUUGAAAACUACAGGGGCUAGAAUCUGGCAGAGGGGGGGGUGGAAUUCCACGUGUAGCAGUGAAAAUGCGUAGAGAUGUGGAGGAACACCGAUGGCGAAGGCAGCCCCCCCUGGGCUGAGAUUGACGCUCAGGCACGAAAAGCGUGGGGGAGCAAAACAGG
rnacentral:rRNA from 1 species